rnacentral:rRNA from 1 species
CCGCACUUUGAGGACGAGGCGAGUGGACCGCUAGGACAAGGCGAAUGAACCACACUGUUUUUUGCUUGUUUUUGUUUUUUUUAUCCACCACUGUGUGCACCCUGAAAUUUAACAUUGGAGUGAGCUGCAAUGAACCGCACUGCACCGUAUGCAAGUGAAACCAAAGUGAGCUACUAGGGGGAAACCAAAGUGAGCUGCAAAUACAAUAGUAAACCACAUUUCACAUUUGGCUUAAGUAAACCGCAACACACCGAAAACUGAACCACAACACACUCGAAAGUGCACCACAUUAUCGUAAGUAAACCACAUUUUCUUGAAAUAAAUAACAACAAAUUCAACACACUUUUUUGAGAUAAAUACCAAGAAAUUCAGCACACGUGACCCAAGCGAACUGCAUUGCUGCUCGAGCCAAACAGAGGCAUAGAACCCAUUUUUUAUAACAUGAUUUUUGCACUGCACAACGAAGCACCACCUCAAUUUCGAGCAAAACUGCAUCGACACAACAACUAAAACGCAACUGGACGCAUGCUCCAAACUACAUUCCCGCUGCCACUAAGUUGCUCGUUGCGUUGACGAACUAUAAGACGAUACCGUGAAAUGAAACUAUUGCUCGUUUAUGGAUUGGGGAGUACACCGGCGAGCUACAUCAUCGGAACCAGUGUACGUCACGCGCCGGGCUGGCAAACUGCACGCCUGCAUAGAUGUGUCGUCGUCCCACACGCUAGCGGCUAGGAGAGGAUGCGGCAGGGGAGGAUGGGUGAACUACAAAACAAAAUUCAGUGAGCUUAGAAAAAAUCAAAUGAACCGCCGGGGAUGGACGUGUACUGGGCCUCGCCGGAGGGAGUUUUGCAGGGAGAGGAGGCCGCGUGCUUGGACAGGGGAGGGGCGUCCUGCAGGGUGCCGGCUGGGGAGGAGAGGAAGGGGCAUCUGCAGCCUGAAUACGGCGUCAGGGCGGCGCGAGAGAGUCGGCGCGGCCUGGAUCCGGCGGCAGCGCACCGCGGGGAGGGCCAGCGCGGCCUGGAUCCAUAGGCUGGGCGGUGCGGGAGGGCGUCUGCUGGGAGUCGUGGGGGGUGGACACGAGCUCGAUCUGGUAGCUGAGGAAGGGAAGGGAGAUGCGGCCGAUGGUGGACGACGCGACCGGAUCCGUGGCGGCAGCCACGCGAGGAGGGUCGUGUGCAAAGAUCCGCGCCGGCAGCUGGGUGGCGGGGCAGUCCGUCCAGAUCGCCGGUCUGGGGCAGGGAAGGGCGCGCCAACGAAGGUGGGCGGGGGCAGGUGGCACGGAGGCGGGGCCUGUGGUGCGGCGACCCGGGGAGGAAGGUGGAGCGACGGUGCAGGGAGGGAGAUGGUGCAGCGGCGGCGCAGUGAGGGAGGUGGUGCACCGGUGGCCCAGUGAGGAAGGUGGUGCACCGGCGGCGCUAGGAAGGAGGGAGGAGCACGAGGAUAGGAGAGAGAGAGGUGGGUGGUGACGAGAGGAUAAGGUGGGGAUUGGGC